rnacentral:rRNA from 1 species
AUGCAUGUCUCAGUACAAGCCAAAUUAAGGUGAAACCGCGAAAGGCUCAUUAAAUCAGUUAUGGUUCCUUAGAUCGUACCCACAUUUACUUGGAUAACUGUGGUAAUUCUAGAGCUAAUACAUGCAAACAGAGCUCCGACCGGAGACGGAAGGGCGCGCUUUUAUUAGAUCAAAACCAAUCGGUGGCGGGAUCUCUCGACACCGUACAUUUUGGUGACUCUGAAUAACUUUUUGCUGAUCGCACGGUCUAGCACCGGCGACGCAUCUUUCAAAUGUCUGCCUUAUCAACUGUCGAUGGUAGGUUCUGCGCCUACCAUGGUUGUAACGGGUAACGGGGAAUCAGGGUUCGAUUCCGGAGAGGGAGCCUGAGAAACGGCUACCACAUCCAAGGAAGGCAGCAGGCGCGCAAAUUACCCACUCCCGGCACGGGGAGGUAGUGACGAAAAAUAACGAUACGGGACUCAUCCGAGGCCCCGUAAUCGGAAUGAGUACACUCUAAACCCUUUAACGAGGAUCAAUUGGAGGGCAAGUCUGGUGCCAGCAGCCGCGGUAAUUCCAGCUCCAAUAGCGUAUAUUAAAGUUGUUGCGGUUAAAAAGCUCGUAGUCGAAUCUGUGUCCCGCGCCGCCGGUUCAUCGCUCGCGGUGUUUAACUGGCGUAUCGCGGGACGUCCUGCCGGUGGACUAUGCUCCGAAAGGGGCGGUCCAACUUGAAAUCCCACCGCGGUGCUCUUCACUGAGUGUCGAGGUGGGCCGGCACGUUUACUUUGAACAAAUUAGAGUGCUUAAAGCAGGCUAAAACUUCGCCUGAAUACUGUGUGCAUGGAAUAAUGGAAUAGGACCUCGGUUCUAUUUUGUUGGUUUUCGGAACCCCGAGGUAAUGAUUAAUAGAAACGGAUGGGGGCAUUCGUAUUGCGACGUUAGAGGUGAAAUUCUUGGAUCGUCGCAAGACGGACAGAAGCGAAAGCAUUUGCCAAAAACGCUUUCAUUGAUCAAGAACGAAAGUUAGAGGUUCGAAGGCGAUCAGAUACCGCCCUAGUUCUAACCAUAAACGAUGCCAGCUAGCGAUCCGCCGACGUUCCUCCGAUGACUCGGCGGGCAGCUUCCGGGAAACCAAAGCUUUUGGGUUCCGGGGGAAGUAUGGUUGCAAAGCUGAAACUUAAAGGAAUUGACGGAAGGGCACCACCAGGAGUGGAGCCUGCGGCUUAAUUUGACUCAACACGGGAAACCUCACCAGGCCCGGACACCGGAAGGAUUGACAGAUUGAGAGCUCUUUCUUGAUUCGGUGGGUGGUGGUGCAUGGCCGUUCUUAGUUGGUGGAGCGAUUUGUCUGGUUAAUUCCGAUAACGAACGAGACUCUAGCCUGCUAACUAGGCGUACUUUCGACAUCUCAAAGGCCCGCCGGCCCUUCACAUCGUGUUGUGGUCGCGCGUGGUUUUUACUGUCGGCGAACAAUCAAUUCUUCUUAGAGGGACAGGCGGCUUCUAGCCGCACGAGAUUGAGCAAUAACAGGUCUGUGAUGCCCUUAGAUGUUCUGGGCCGCACGCGCGCUACACUGAAGGAAUCAGCGUGUCCUCCCUGGCCGAGAGGCCCGGGUAACCCGCUGAACCUCCUUCGUGCUAGGGAUUGGGGCUUGCAAUUGUUCCCCAUGAACGAGGAAUUCCCAGUAAGCGCGAGUCAUAAGCUCGCGUUGAUUACGUCCCUGCCCUUUGUACACACCGCCCGUCGCUACUACCGAUUGAAUGAUUUAGUGAGGUCUUCGGACCGGUACGCGGUGUCGCUUCGGCGUUACCGAUGUUGCUGGGAAGAUGA